rnacentral:rRNA from 1 species
GAUAAACGCUGGCGGCGUGCCUAACACAUGCAAGUCGAACGCUCUCUUCUUUCGGGAAGAGGGAGUGGCGGACGGGUGAGUAACACGUAGGUGACCUACCUUGAGGUGGGGAAUACCGACGAGAAAUCGUUGACAAUUCCGCAUAUGUUCUCUUCGGAGAGCAAAGCUUCGGUUCUUCCGAGGCGCCACAAGAUGGGCCUGCGUCUGAUUAGCUAGUUGGUGGGGUAAUGGCCUACCAAGGCGACGAUCAGUAGCUGAUCUGAGAGGAUGAUCAGCCACACUGGGAUUGAGAACGGCCCAGACUCCUACGGGAGGCAGCAGUGAGGAAUUUUCCGCAAUGGACGCAAGUCUGACGGAGCAACGCCGCGUGCAGGAGGAAGGUCUACGGAUCGUAAACUGCUUUUACCGGGGAAGAGAAAGGACGGUACCCGGUGAAUAAGCCCCGGCUAACUACGUGCCAGCAGCCGCGGUAAUACGUAGGGGGCGAGCGUUAUCCGGAAUUAUUGGGCGUAAAGGGCACGCAGGCGGUCCUGCACGUGGUGGGUGACAGCUCCUGGCUUAACUAGGAGAGUGCCUUCCAAACGACAGGACUUGAGAGCGAGAGAGGGAUACGGAACUCCAGGUGAAGCAGUGAAAUGCGUAGAGAUCUGGAAGAACACCAAAGGCGAAGGCAGUAUCCUGGCUCGUCUCUGACGCUCAGGUGCGAAAGCUAGGGGAGCAAACAGGAUUAGAUACCCUGGUAGUCCUAGCUGUAAACCAUGACCACUAGGCAUGGGAGGUAUCGACCCCUUCCGUGCCGUAGGUAACCUGUUAAGUGGUCCGCCUGGGGAGUACGGUCGCAAGACUAAAACUCAAAGGAAUUGACGGGGACCCGCACAAGCAGCGGAGCGUGUGGUUUAAUUCGAUGCAACGCGAAGAACCUUACCAGGGUUUGACAUGUAUGCGACAUCCCUUGAAAGAGGGCUCCCUUCGGGGCGCAUGCACAGGUGCUGCAUGGCUGUCGUCAGCUCGUGCCGUGAGGUGUCUGGUUAAGUCCUCUAACGAGCGCAACCCCUAUGGCUAGUUGAACCUAUCUAGUCAGACCGCCACCACAAAAUGGAGGAAGGUGGGGAUGACGUCAAGUCAGCACGGCCCUUACAUCCUGGGCGACACACACGCUACAAUGGUCGGUACAACGAGUUGCGAACCCGCGAGGGGGAGCCAAUCUCAGCAAAACCGGUCUCAGUUCGGAUUGUAGGCUGCAACCCGCCUGCAUGAAGCUGGAGUUGCUAGUAACCGUAGGUCAGCACACUACGGUGAAUACGUUCCCGGGUCUUGUACACACCGCCCGUCACACCACGAAAGUCGGCAACACCUAAAGCCGUCGGGCUAACCCUUCAAGGGAGGCAGGCGUCGAGGGUGGGGUCGGUGAUUGGGGUG